rnacentral:rRNA from 1 species
CUAUCUGCAAGUCGAGCGGACAGAAGGGAGCUUGCUCCCGGAUGUUAGCGGCGGACGGGUGAGUAACACGUGGGUAACCUGCCUGUAAGACUGGGAUAACUCCGGGAAACCGGAGCUAAUACCGGAUAGUUCCUUGAACCGCAUGGUUCAUAGGAUGAAGGAUGAAAGAGGGGUUCGGCUGUCACUUACAGAUGGACCCGCGGCGCAUUAGCUAGUUGGUGGGGUAAUGGCUCACCAAGGCGACGAUGCGUAGCCGACCUGAGAGGGUGAUCGGCCACACUGGGACUGAGACACGGCCCAGACUCCUACGGGAGGCAGCAGUAGGGAAUCUUCCGCAAUGGACGAAAGUCUGACGGAGCAACGCCGCGUGAGUGAUGAAGGUUUUCGGAUCGUAAAGCUCUGUUGUUAGGGAAGAACAAGUGCGAGAGUAACUGCUCGCACCUUGACGGUACCUAACCAGAAAGCCACGGCUAACUACGUGCCAGCAGCCGCGGUAAUACGUAGGUGGCAAGCGUUGUCCGGAAUUAUUGGGCGUAAAGGGCUCGCAGGCGGUUUCUUAAGUCUGAUGUGAAAGCCCCCGGCUCAACCGGGGAGGGUCAUUGGAAACUGGGAAACUUGAGUGCAGAAGAGGAGAGUGGAAUUCCACGUGU